rnacentral:lncRNA from 1 species
CAAUUCUGAUUAUCCCGAAUAACAAAAUUUCAUUGUCAUGUUGCAGAAAUAUAUUUAUCCCCAUAUAAAAAUAAUGAAAGGUGUUAUGAGUGCCAAUGAGCCCAGCUAUUUACCCUCGUCCAAAUAAUGUGGAAAGCAAUUAUUGGUCAUUGAACAGCCUUCAACAAUGGACAAAACACAUACCGUGUAUCUAGAUAUAAAUUGUCUCGACAAGACAAAUUCUUCAAAAAGACCGAUUCUUUUAAUUUAUUUUUUAUUUAAUUGUUAUCUUAUUUUUGUAAUUGAACUUGAGGAAACACUUAUCAAUUCUCUCUAAUUUUAAUACUCGUUAUAAAAUAAAUAGUCUUCAAGUGCAUGAAAUGUUUGCCACUGGACGUUAGCAACCAACAAUCAAUCAAUUGAUUUUCUAAUGAAAAUUCGAUCCAAAAUUAAAUGUAAAUAGAAACUGACAGUAAGUAGUGUAUAGUAACCCUGCAGUAUUUCUCAUUAUUGUAUAGUAAUAUAAUAUUUCCAAC